GGCAGCGGCCCCGGUACAUGACGCUCAGGUCCGGGUGGCCGCGGCAGCGCGCGGCGCGCAGCUCGCACUCGUCGCGAUUCAGCAAACACUGUUUCCAGCAGAGGCGUUUCCAACAAUGUAUGACAGCGACAUCUGCGUGGGCCUGGAGGCGCUGCGCCCGAGGGGGCUUUCGUGCAGCCAGACACAUUUCCUACUCUGGAGCUGAUUCUGUCAUGGGGGCUUCCAGAUUUGUCAGGCGCCCUUGGCGAGCGCAGGGGAGCCCCUCUGUUCCUGCUUCUAGGGCAUCAGUGAACAUCUCUGUUGGCCAGAGGGACCCUGCGGGGUGCUGGGGUGCCACGGUGACCAAGGCAGACCCCAUCACACCCUCACCGAGCUCCUGGUUUGGACAAUAAAAUGCAGAGACAAAU
rnacentral:lncRNA from 1 species